GCAGGGGAGUAGCUGCUUUCUCUAGGCUUGUCCACAGCACCUGAGGGGGACCCGGGGUAAUGGCAGCUCAUGUCAGGAUCACAGAAACGGCAUGGUCACUAGAAGAAAGAGGGAUGGGGGGCUCUGGAGAACAGCAUGGGGGCACAGCGCUGGGGCCCCGGUUUCAGCUCCUGGGGUGCUGUUUGUGUGGAGUUUGCAUGUUCAUGUGCCCUGUGCUGGACUGGUGUCUCCUCAGGGUGUAUCCUGCUCCCAUGACCCUAAACUGGAUGAAGCCAUUACAAAAUGGGUGGAUGGGAAAAGUGGAUGUUAAUUCCAAGAAAAAAAGAGUGUUUUGAUCAAAGAUCAUAAUACAGAAAGUGCUAAUAAACUUACAGAUGUAAUGUUUCACCAUUUCUGUCUGCUUUGCCCACAUUUAAGGACUUAAAAUGAAGAAAGC
rnacentral:lncRNA from 1 species